AUUGAACGCUGGCGGCAGGCCUAACACAUGCAAGUCGAACGAGUGGCGGACGGGUGAGUAACGCAUCGGAACGUGCCCGGUAGUGGGGGAUAACUAUCCGAAACGACAGCUAAUACCGCAUACUAUUCGAUCGGCCGAUUUCUGAUUAGCUGGUUGGGGGGGUAAAGGCACACCAAGGCGACGAUCCGUAGCUGGUCUGAGAGGAUGAUCAGCCACACUGGGACUGAGACACGGCCCAGACUCCUACGGGAGGCAGCAGUGGGGAAUUUUGGACAAUGGGCGCAAGCCUGAUCCAGCCAUGCCGCGUGUAUGAAGAAGGCCUUAGGGUUGUAAAGUACUUUCAGCAGGGAAGCGGUACCUGAAGAAUAAGCACCGGCUAACUACGUGCCAGCAGCCGCGGUAAUUC
rnacentral:rRNA from 1 species